rnacentral:sRNA from 1 species
GCUGGGCGUGGUGGCGGGCGCCUGUAAUCCCAGCUACUUGGGAGGCUGAGGCAGGAGAAUCUCUUGAACCCAGGAGAUGGAGGUUGUAGUGAGCCAAGAUCAAGCCACUGCACUACAGCCUGGGCGACAGAGUGAGACUCUGCCUCAA